rnacentral:rRNA from 1 species
AACGAACGCUGGCGGCGUGCUUAACACAUGCAAGUCGAACGAGACGUUCGGGCCUAGUGGCGCAGGCGUGCGUAACGCGUGGGAACCUGCGCUUAGGUACGGAAUCACUCCCCGACUGGGGUGUUCAUACCGGUUACUGUCGUAGGAGCAAAGGUUUAUCGCCUUGGGAUGGGCCCGCGCUGGAUUCGGUAGUUGGGAGGGUAAAAGCCUACCAAGGCGACGAUCCAUAGCUGGUGUGUGAGGAAGACACGCCACACUGGGACUGCGACCCGGCCCAAACUCCCAAGGGGGGGAGGAGUGGGGGAUAUUGGGCAAGGGGGGGAAACCUGAAGCCGCGAAGCCGGGGGAGUGAAGAAGGGGUUUGGGAUGUAAAGCCCUUUUAGCAGGGAAGAAAAUGACGGUACCUGGGGAAGAAGCCCCGGCUAACUACGUG